GACGAACGCUGGCGGCGUGCCUAAUACAUGCAAGUCGAGCGCAGGAAACUGACGGAACUCUUCGGAGGGAAGGCAGUGGAAUGAGCGGCGGACGGGUGAGUAACACGUAAGGAACCUGCCUCAAGGAUUGGGAUAACUCCGUGAAAUCGGAGCUAAUACCGGAUAGUUCAACGGACCGCAUGGUCCGCUGAUGAAAGGCGCUUCGGCGUCACCUUGAGCUGGCCUUGCGGUGCAUUAGCUAGUUGGUGGGGUAACGGCCCACCAAGGCGACGAUGGAUAGCCGACCUGAGAGGGUGAUCGGCCACACUGGGACUGAGACACGGCCCAGACUCCUACGGGAGGCAGCAGUAGGGAAUCUUCCACAAUGGCCGAAAGUCUGAUGGAGCAACGCCGCGUGAGUGAUGAAGGUUUUCGGAUCGUAAAACUCUGUUGUAAGGGAAGAACACGUACGAGAGGAAAUGCUCGUACCUUGACGGUACCUCACGAGAAAGCCACGGCUAACUACGUGCCAGCAGCCGCGGUAA
rnacentral:rRNA from 1 species